AUUGAACGCUGGCGGCAGGCCUAACACAUGCAAGUCGAACGGUAACAGAAAGCAGCUUGCUGCUUUGCUGACGAGUGGCGGACGGGUGAGUAAUGUCUGGGAAACUGACUGAUGGAGGGGGAUAACUACUGGAAACGGUAGCUAAUACCGCAUAACGUCGCAAGACCAAAGAGGGGGACCUUCGGGCCUCUUGCCAUCGGAUGUGCCCAGAUGGGAUUAGCUAGUAGGUGGGGUAACGGCUCACCUAGGCGACGAUCCCUAGCUGGUCUGAGAGGAUGACCAGCCACACUGGAACUGAGACACGGUCCAGACUCCUACGGGAGGCAGCAGUGGGGAAUAUUGCACAAUGGGCGCAAGCCUGAUGCAGCCAUGCCGCGUGUAUGAAGAAGGCCUUCGGGUUGUAAAGUACUUUCAGCGGGGAGGAAGGGAGUAAAGUUAAUACCUUUGCUCAUUGACGUUACCCGCAGAAGAAGCACCGGCUAACUCCGUG
rnacentral:rRNA from 1 species